GGUCUGCUAGCGCAAUGGUAGCGCGUUGUCUUCCGGGUAUCAUGUGAAUGAGUUAUUUCUCACCUGGCAAAGGUUCUGGGUUCGAGUCCCAGGUGGAUCG